UAUGCUUCAUAUGGAGUGGGUAAAAAGCUCAACAUAAAUCAUUGGAAUGAGGUCAAAGUUUGGCUUUGAUCGGAAGGAUGGAUUUGCCGGGCAUGUUGGGUUAGUCAUGUAAAGUAUGUUUGGUUUGUGAUUGGGCGAUGUUGGUGGGUUGUGUUUGAUGGUUGUUUAAUGGUGGUUCUUGAUAUUGGUGGGUAUUAUUAGCUAAAUAGGCAUGGUGUAAAGGUAAGGAGGGGUUAUUAUUGUAUUGGAAGUGAUGUGGGACUCGGUAUC